rnacentral:rRNA from 1 species
UGGCACUCUAGGGAGACUGCCGGUGACAAACCGGAGGAAGGUGAGGAUGACGUCAAGUCAGCAUGCCCCUUACGCUCUGGGCUACACACGUGCUACAAUGGCGCGGACAAAGGGUCGCGAGCGCGCGAGCGUGAGCCAAUCCCAAAAACCGCGUCUCAGUUCAGAUCGCAGGCUGCAAC